UUCAUCGGCGUAUGUAUUGUUUUCCAAACGCAUAGUCUUGAGACAAGGCAAGGAGACAGACUCCAAAGACGUGCUCCCCACAAACACCCUACAAACUAUGGUGAUUGAGUACAUGCUCACAGGUCAGAGAUAUACGCGGUCUAUCAUUGGAAGGUGAAUCACAGUUUUUUUUCUUCUCAUACUCCUUGAUUCUUAUAUGCACAAAACUAAAACUCUUGUAAGAUUGAUGAUAUCAGUGUCAGCGUUAUCAUGUUUGGCGCAUUUUUUGCUGGAGCUAGGGACUUGUCAUUUGAUUUUUUAUGGAUAUGCUGUUGUUUUCGUAGCCAAUAUAACAACAGCAGUAUAUCUAGCAACCAUCACCCGGACUGGUACAAGUUGUUAUAGUCCUUCCUACCGGUUUGAAUCCUAUCUUAGUCAAUGUCUAAUGUCUAAUUCUCCAGGGAAGUCAAGUGGUUUGAAUAGCUUUGGCCUCAUGUGGUGCAAUGGUAAUCUAAGUAGAUAGUAAGAUUGGCCUAAACUCCCAAGACUUGCUUUCAAUUUGUUAGUUUUGCAAUGAUAGGAGUUAGUUAUAUGCGAACCUAUAUUGAUGGUUAGGACAUAUAUGUGUGGUGACUGGGAGAAGACGAUUAACUUUCCUCAGCUCUUUUCUCCUGGCUUCAUGGUACUGUAAAUCUCUCUUCUGACUUAUACUGCUUAUCUGUUUUCAUGUUCACCUAGGUUGUGUUACUCUGCUUGCGUGUUAGCUUUCUUUUUCAACUACAUCAUUUUUCUUAACACCACUCUCAACUCGGCUCUCACACAGACAAUUUGUGGCAAUAUGAAGGUCGGUUUCACUGUAUAAUUUUUGUUUUAAGUUCUUUUAUGUCUAUGAUUUUGUAAACGAAAGCAGAAACUUUGAACAUUAUAUAUCAUCAUUGCAGGACCUAUUCACGGUUGGAUUAGGCUGGAUGAUCUUUGGUGGACUCCCAUUCGACCUGGUAUUAUUCUUCACCUUCCCAUUUACUCUAUUGAUCCCAAAAUCGCCUAUCUACAAUUUGCUACAUCUCAGUACUGUAAUUUUGGUUCGUUGACGCAGAUGAAUGUGAUUGGACAGCUUCUUGGCUUCUUCGGAUCUGGUUUAUAUGCAUAUUACAAGAUCAUUGGGAGGUAGCUAGAGAAGGGUGACUGACUAUAAGCCGAGGCCCCAUUUUUUGACACAUUACUGGAUUAUAAAGGAACUGAUGUUUUGAGAUUGUUUUGCUCUUUAUCAUUUUCUUAUGUUCUUUCCGUUUGAAUAUAAACUAUAGAGUGACUCGGUCUUUUCUGGGAUCUAAUAUAAAUGCGUUCACAAAUCUUACUUUUCUUUGUUAACCAUGGUAUCAACUUAUUAAGCUUUCCUUGGUUUUCAUGGCGAUGUUACAAGUGAAAGGAUAGUAUGAAUAUCUUGUUAUAGCUCUAAACAAACGGUAGGCGAGACAAGUAGGAAGAGUUUAGCUGCGAGCAUGUUGUACUCAGUUUAACAUGAAAAGUGGAUGAAAGAAGACAAAUAAGAAAAAAAUUCAGAAGACACACCCAGUGGGACUCGAACCCACAAUCGCUUGAUUAGAAGUCAAGCGCCUUAUCCAUUAGGCCAUGGGUGCUUGUUGAUCUUCAUUCCCAUUAAAUCUUGUGAUUAGGUAAGUGUUUCUAUAUUGCUCUCUGAAAAAGCAAAACAUAUCUAACCGGGAAAAAGUAAAGUAAGCUGGAAAGAAGCAGAGAGAGAUCCCUGAAGUAAACCCUGUUUCCCUUCAAAGUAUCUCCACUAUCUCUCAUCCUCUUCCACUCUGACACUCAACUUCCACACUUUUAUCUUUCUUUAGUCUGGUAUAAGAAAAGAAAAGAAAAGGAAACCAUUUGUUCUUGUUCUUGAUUUUGCGAUGGAAGUUCCACGCCGCUCUUUGGCUGCUUCUCUCUCUCCUCUCCGCCUCAUCGAUGGUCUCCCUCGCCGGAGGAGUUUUAAUUAUAACCAGAUGCCUGAGGAGCCCAUCAAACUCACUGUUCUCAAGCUUGAUGGAUCUUCCUUUGGUACACAACCAUCAUCUUCUUGCUUUCUUGUUUCUUACCAUCAAUCUUCAAGACUUGUUUCUUGAGUUAGCGGUUUACGAUUUUGUAGGUAUUGAAGUAUUGAAGACAGCUACAGUAGGUGAGCUCAAGAUGGCUGUAGAAGCUGCGUUUUCUCACUUGCCCAUCACUGGCGUUGGCAAGGUCUCAUGGUAUGAGGACUCCUCUCCUCUUGUGUCUUUAUCUUAUAUGUAAUUCUUGAUGAUCUUAAUCUUACCCUGUGAUUAUCAUUUCGAUGAAAGGCCGCAUGUUUGGGCACAGUUCUGCUUAUCCUAUGGAGAUCAAAGACUGCUCAACGAGGCUGACUACCUCAUUGAGUUUGGCAUUAAAGACGGAGAUCAGGUUUGUUGUACUCGCCUCCCUCUUUUCUUCACUCAUGUAACAACUCUUCUAAAUGAAACUACAAAGUUUGAUUCAAAUGCAUCUUUUAAUUCUUUUGGACAAACAUCAUUCAGCUUAGGUUCAUCCGCCAUAUAUCAAACUACUGCACCAUGAUGGUGAACCAUAAGAGCAAGAAGACACCACAUGUUUCUUCUUUGAAACAACUCAAACUGUAAGAAGAGUCUUUUCUCUUUCCAUUUUCUCUUCAUGUUUUUAGCAUCUCAUCAGACAGAUACAUAUUUUAGACCAUCUAGGUUCUCUCUUAAACCCGAAACCUGGAAAAAGAAAGGAGCACAAGGACAAGAAGAUGGUGUUGACUCAGUCACCAAGACACAACCAAGCUUUCUAUCGACUGUAUUGGGAGGUUGGCUCUCUUACAAGUCAACACCAAGUCGGUCUAAACACAGAAACGUGACUGCUUCUACUUCGAGUCACCUCAGAGCUUUUAACAACAUCAUCGCAAGGUUUCGUUUCAAGUGUUACUCGGAGAAAGAUGUCUGGAACAGGAAAAAACUCAUCUCUGAAAACAUGAAAUAAUACUCAUUACUAUCUGUCUGCUUCUGAUUUGGUUCUUGUAGAGAUUUUGAUUUCCCAGUGUUCAUGUUUAUAUGUAAGAAACAAAUCAUAAGACAAGUCUGUGGUUUUAUAAAAGAUGAUGUUAUAUGCUUGAUACCAUCAAACAUCAUACAAGAGUCUUACUACGUUCAAAGAAAGUGAAACAAUGUUAUUAUGUACAUGUACCCAUACAUAGAUUAUAUAAGAGCAUUACCAGACCAAAGCAAUAUCCUUAAACACUGAACACAAGCCACUUUGAUUUGCCAGAGUCCUGACCAUCAACAAUCUGACAAUCACCACCUUGUCCACCAGAGCCAUCCCUCUGUUUCCCAUCCUUUGAUCUUCCUGCUUUCUUCCCAACUAACAACCCCAACUUCAUCGCUGUCAACAGACCCAUGGCAAUCAGCAAAGGUCUCACAGCCCAGUGAAAGUCCUCCAGAUGCUGAUACUUUUUCACAACUCCUUCACAUGUGUUGAAGUCCACAAUCUCCACUUCAGCUGGAUCCGCAAGACAGCUGCUUCCAUGUUCCUCUCCGAAAGGCAACGCUCCAGGGAACUCCACCUCGAGGCAACCGUUUGGUAAAACCUUAGAGAUCCUGCCCGUUGCCCAAAUCCCUCUACCUUUACGCAUCCACUUGAAUCUUGGGAUGACGACAUUGGCUUUGAUCUUCACGAACUGACCCACACUGUAUCCUUUAGCCAUCUGAAGCUGCGAUGAAGUUCCUUUCCAGAGAGUUGGCAGCCCUAUAAACCCAACAGCUACAUUACCCUCACGGUCUAUUGAAUGUAUAACACCAACAAGAGAGUGCCUCUUGUCUUCUCCAUCCUUCAGACGCACCCAAUCUCCAGCAGCUAAGCCGUUAGUUACCCGUUCAAGAACAGAGACAUGAACUCUUAACGGAUCAUGAACACCAUGGACUUUAACGAGAGCAAACUCAUCUGGAUCGGUGUCACGUUCUAGACCAACCACUGUUCCUUCUGGCACAUCCAUGUUCUCAUGCUUAAAAGAAUUGGCAGGCUUUCUUGAACGCACCGUGUCGCCCACUCGGAGUUGAUCCUUUGAAAGAAACCAUUCUGUGUAACCGAGAGCAGCCGAGCUCUUCCUGAUCUCUCUACUGUCAAUGCCUCUCCACACCUCUUCCUCCUCUGAGUCCUGCAAGCUGCACAAUCAUUUCCAGUUAAUAUCACAAACCAAGAUGGACGAAGACGGGCAAGAGACGGUUUACCUCUUCAAGACGUGUAAGAUGUCAGUCAUAGAUGGCCUGCUUCGAAGAUCAUACAUAAAGCAACCUCUAAGUAAGUUCUCAAGAGGAGGCGGUAUGCCACUGGGGAUGCUACUCUUUUCUUGCUUUCUGACCACUAAGUUGUAUAUCUCAUCGGCGGAUUUGCCACACCAAGGCUGCACACCGGUCAGCAUUUCCACAACGCUGCAACCAAACCCCCAAGAAUCAGUCUCAAAGGACAUGGGACCUCUUACUAUUAAUAUCACAAACCAAGAUGGACGAAGACGGGCAAGAGACGGUUUACCUCUUCAAGACGUGUAAGAUGUCUGUCAUCGAUGGUCUGCUUCGAAGAUCAUACAUAAAGCAACCUCUAAGUAGAUUCUCCAGAGGAGGCGGUACACCACUGGGGAUGCUAAUCUUUUCUUGCUUCCUGACCACUAAGUCGUAAAUCUCAUCGGCGGAUUUGCCAGACCAAGGCUGUACACCGGUCAGCAUCUCCACAACGCUGCAUCCAAACCCCCAAGAAUCAGUCUCAAAGGACAUGGGACCUCUUAAUUCCGGUUGCCACUGCUCUGGAGCCAUGUAGUUUGCAGUUCCAAGCCUCAUUGUCAUAUCAGAACUCGGCAGAGGGAUGCUAAGAAGGAGAUAAGGGACUCCAACGUCUCCGAGGAUGGCCUUGUCGUUAUCACUGAGAAGAAAGUUAGAGGGCUUGAGAUUAAGAAUCAGAAACCCUUUUGAGUGCAGCUCCAGGAUCCCUGUAACCAGAUCAACGCCGUACCUGUGGUUCAACAUAGAUAAAGAAGACAUUAGUAUCACUACUAGCUGCUUGCUUGUAUAAUGCAAUGUUACCUCAACACAUCAGGCAGUGAAAGCUUUCCUCCUUUAAGCCUAGCCAUCUUGUCACCAACACAGCCCUCAUAGAACUUCAUGAUAAUACAUAUCUACAAAACACAAAUUUUUAAACAAAAACGGAAACUAAGAGAAACCACCACAUGUUGUCUUUUUUAACUUACCCUUCCACUGAUACUAGAGACACCACGGAGCAUACAGACACUCUCAACCCCCUGACACUUGGAAAACAAAUCCUCAAACUUAUCAACCACAACCUUCCUCUGAUCCUCCUUGAUGGGAUGAAGCAUUUUGAUGGCGACUUCAUGAUGCUCAUCGUAGUCCUCGGUAGACUGAUGAUGAGUAGCCAACCAAACGUCACCAAAUGGACCUCUUCCAAUCCGGUGGCGAAGCUUCAAAGUUGCAGAGUUCAUCCAGGGGCUAGCACCGGUUGCUAAAGCGCUCUCGGAGCCACCUUCAAUGAUCUCGUACUCAGAAUCAUCAGGCUUCUGAGGAGCUAUCUUUGAAUCCAUAUCUGAAACCAGGAGAAAAAAAUAUAGUUUCACAAGUUACAACUCAAAGUUUGUUAAGUAAGAACUCAAAUCUCACAAACCUAUGUUUGGUAAUAAAAAGGAACAACCUUUCAGUUAUUUAACUAUCGUUAUGAAGCAAAAAAUGUGAAACAGAUUCGUCACAAGUCAGAUACGUGUGUGAGUUCUAUUUUGAAGAGAAGUAAGCGAUACAAACAAGGGACAAAGACAAGUGUCGUGGAGAUGUAGAAGUAGGAGAAGGAGAACAAGCAACAGUAUCCCAUCACAAUGGAACUCAAUUAGCGCAAGAUAUAGAACCAUAAGUCAAAUCUCAUUAGAUCAGAAUUUGCAAAACGAAUGUAAUUAAAAUGAAAGUUAACUCGAGUUACAAAGAAAAAAUCUCAAAAAAAAAAAAUCACGGAGAAGGAGAGUAACCGAGCAAUGAAGGAGAUAAACUUGCGUUAUGUCGACGGAUUAAGGCUUUUGAAGGUAGUGACGGCGAAGACAGAAGACAAAUGAUAGAAACCUAACACCGCCGGUAAUGAUAACUACAAGUUCCUGAUGAAAGAGAGAAAACAAACAAAUAACUUAGAGACGAUCAUCGGAAACUGAAACAAGUAACUUGAGAAGCUGAUAAAGACAGGGAACCGAGAGAGAGAGAGAGAGAGAGAACCUGUGAAGGAAGAAGGCGUGGAGGCCCCGUAAGUUUUUGUUUAAUGAGACACACCUUACCGUACUUAAUACCACAACCACAACAAAGCCCACUUUACUUCAUUUUAUGUCAACCAAAAAAAAACUCUUUUUAUUUUUAAUUUUGUUGUUAUUAAAAGCUUUUUUUUUUGGUUAAGAGGUUAUUGGUUGGUGUAUUUUGAUACAUUUGAAAAUCUAAACUAAAUUUUAGUGUUAUUGCUUCUAUGAUUUUAAAAUAUGUAUUGAAAUCAUGUGUUAUUGGUUUAAUGAUUCAUAAAUUUUAAUUCAAAUCAAGUGUUAUUCAAUCAUACGAAUUUAUUAAUAGAUUUAAUUUCAUAAUGGAUUUGAAUUGAUUUGCAUGAAUUUCUUUGUUAAAAAAUACAAAAACUCAAAUCCGAGGGAAAACCUCCGAAUUUGUAAAUAAUAAUCCGAAAAUUUUUGAAAUUUGUAUAUUUUACUUGGAUUUAUAAGUACUAUAUGGAUUUUUAAAUCAAUCCAAAUAUAUAAACCAAUAACAUCUAAAACAUAUUAAGAAAUUUUAUAUUAGUGCAAAGUACACCAUGUUUAGCUUAUCAUAGUACCGAUCACACAACAAAUACGAUUUCAUGAUUGUAUCCACGACAGUAAGACUGAGGACCAUAGCUUCAGGUGUUACGGUGGUGUGAGUGGAACAAGACUGUAAUGCUAUUCACACCAAGUAGUUUCCUCUCUUUUUCGUCUGUUGCUCAGGCGCUGUACAAACAAACAUCACAUCUCGUGACAACAAACGCCGACAACAGUGAAGGUUGAAGUUUGGGCUUCCUUGCUGGACCUGAGCCCAAGAGCCCAUUUUGCGGUUUUGUGAAUCUCCUUUAGUUCACAAAACAUCUUCAAUGUCUUCAAUGUCUCUCUGUUCUUCUUACUUCACUCGCAGACACAACCCUCAAUUGCUCUUUGUUUUCGUUUCAAGAAGAGACAUGUAAAUCUCGUGACAAUAAGAGUCUAUGAAGAUUCAUCCAAAAUCAAAUUUUCAAUCUUUAUCAAACUAAAUAAGAAAAGAGAGCUAAUCAUUUAUAAAAACUUACAUAUAAAAUUGUUGUUGAUUCAUCCAACGAUCAGACAAAGACAUAGAGAGAAAAGAAGAGAGAUUUACAGUAAUUUCAUAUAAAUUGAGGAUUGAGAAAAGACAGAACACACAAGAGUUUGUAUUAAGAAGGAAGAACCUUCUUGACAAUGUCUUCACUAAGAGCAGCGAUCUGAGAAUCAAGAGCCUUAAUGGUCUCCUCCUUCUGCUUCUCCAAGCUCGCCAAAGCUUCCUGCAGCUCCGCCUCCACCUUCUUCCUCCCUACCGCCAGCUGCUGCUCCACCUCCACCUGUCCCAACACAAACAACCAUCAAUGCCUUUCUCACAAUCAGACAUCACAAAUGUCAGUUAACGUUUCCCUUACCUCCGUCUCCUUCUUCAUCUUGUUAAGCGCGGCGGCGAUCUCAGCCCUAGCCGCCCUCAUCACAGCAGCCGCCUGUUCAUCGAGCGCCUUCACCUCAGUGGAAGUAUCCUUCACGCUCGCGAGCUUCUCCUUAAUCUCACCGUCUCUCUUAUCCAUAAAGUUCCCGAGGGGAGAGUAGUAGACUUUGUCGAGCGCGAACAUGAGGAAGAGAAACUCCACGACGAUGAUCGGGAGCGUCAGGUUGAAGUCGAAGAGCUGGGCCUUCUCCAUAGCUUCGGCCAUGGAAGGGGGAGCGAGGGCGGCGAUUAAAGCUAGAGACUUUACGGUGGCGGAGGAGAAAGACAGAGCCUUGCUGCUGAGGGAGGAGGAGGAGGAGGAGGAGAUGGGUUUGGGGAUCUGGGGGAGUUUGAUGGAUUUGGGGAGGUUGACGCGGGUUGGUUGAGUGGAGGAGGAGAGGGAGAUGAGGGGUUUGGAGGAAGCCAUUAUCGAGUUAGCCAUGGCGACACGAGCAGAGACAGAGAGAGAGGGAGAGAGCUUUCGCUUUGAGAGAUGAGAGAAUGCUCAAAAACUGAUCUCUCUGUGUAAUCUUCUUAGGAAUGUUAUCUCUUCUCUUCACCACACAAAUAAUCAAAGGCUGUGGUGGUGAGCUUACAAAUGUAAUGUAAGGACCCGAAAAAAAAUUAUAUAAAAACAAUAAACAAAUAUAAAAAGUUAUAUAUAAAAAAAAUUGCAUUUUUUAAUACUCUCCCGUUUUUACAAAAUCUUUAUUUUAGAAAAAGUAUAUUUUCUAUGCAUUAAUUAAUAAUAAAUUUUAAAAACAAUAGUUAUUUUAUUGUAAUUCAUUUGGUUAAAAUGUUAAAAUGGUUAAUUAAAAAAAAUAGAAAUUAAUGGUAUUAGCUUACUGUUAUUUUAUCACAAAUUUAAAGUAUUUGGAAAAAUAGUUAUUCAUUAAUGAUAAAUUUGAAAAGUAGUAUCAAAUUUGUGGUAUAAUUGAAAAUUUUCCUUAAUAUAUUUUAUACGUGUAAAAAUUGUAAAAUUAUAAUUCUUUUUAACAGACGGAGUUUAUAAUUACUUUUUGGUUAAAUCGCAAAUGUAAAUGUAAACAAAUGAUGUCAAACAAAUAAAUACCAGACUUGUCUUACCAUUAACCAUAAUGUCAUUGAAGAUCACAGAUGUUUUAUCCUUACAAGGUGACCUAAGAGGAUACAAGUCUCUUGCUACAUGUCUAACCUUCUCAAAGACAGUCCUUGAAUGCAGAACAGAUCUUAGUUUUGAGACAACAUAUUUAUUCAACACCCGGUAACUCUACAUAUAUCCACAUAAAAAAUCACAUCACAGAUCAAGCUUAUAAAGUUAAUCUGUAUGAUCUAAUCUUCACAAUCCAUUAAUGCAUGUGGAUGUAGUACCAUCAACGAUUCCUGCAUUCUCUAGGAGCUUCUCUGUCAAUGACCAGAGCCUCCCAACUUCUGAUUUCACCUCAGCAAUACAAUCGGCUGAACUGUUUUCGUUCUCUGGCACUACAAAGAAAUCAGAAUCUACCUCCACACUCAUGUCAGCUUGACUUAGAAGCUCUGUGCUCAUCUCCGCAAGCUUCUGUAACGCGCUCGUUGCAGCUUCCACUUCAAGUUGAGCUGCUUCAAGCUGAAGCUUCUCUAUAGCUAGAUCACCCAUUGUUCUCCCCUCGAUCCUCUCUUGCGCCAAUGCAUAUAGCAUUUUCAAAUCUUCACCGUCAUUAACCGUUUCUUCUUUUAGUUUCUUGACUUCCCUCUCCUUGGCUUCUAGUCUCCCCAUGAGUACAUUGAUCUCUUCGUCCUUCAACGUCAGAGCCCUCUGCGCAGCUAAAACUUCCAUCUCUUUCAACCGUAGAUUCUCUCUGGUGAAGUUUAGCUCCAUCACUAGCCGUUUGUUCUCCAUCCCGUAAUCACCAUAAGGUUGUUUCUCUAGUGGUUGUUGCUGCAUCUGAUCUUGAACCAAUCUGCUCGUCAGCUCUGCGAUUCUCUCCACCACCAUCUCAGCUUCACUGGCUUGAAUCUUGGAGCUGCCUAACUCGUCUUCGAUUCUGUUAAGGUGGACAUCUUUCUCCUUCAGUAAUUCAGUUGCCUGCGUAAGCUGAUCUUCUCUAGUUCUCAUAAGCAUCUUCAGCUCUGUAACCUCCCGGUUCACCACUUCCAAUUGAUUCCUCGCUUCCGUGAGCUCUUCAUCUUUCUCUUGCAGUAACAGCUCUAGAGAAGCCUGUUCAGACUUUAAAUGCUGAAUCUCUAGCUUAGCCUCCACCAAGCUUGACUCCUUCUCCUGAAGUAGAGUCUGUGAGACUUGAAACUCGUUUGUUUUCUUGUCAAGCUCGUCUUGUAUGGUGGAGACAUCAUGCAUAGCUUGCUCCAACAGAGACUUCUCUUUCUUCAACUCCUCUCGUAGCUCCUCCAGGAGUUCUUUUUGGAUUGAUAUCUCUCGCUCGAGUGCAAAGUUCUUAGCCUCCGCGACUCUGAGCUUUACUCUCUCACUCUCCACUUCACCGCGAGCGUCUCUCAAGCUUUGCAUAUACGACAACACGCUUCUCCUCUGCUCCUCAAGUUCCUCUAACUGUUUCUCUAAUAGCACUUCCUUUUCUCCCAUCUGCUCUCUUGAAGAUAACAAAACUUCCCGAGAUGAAACAAGCUCGAAUCUCACAUCGGUCAGAAGCUUCCUCACUCUCCUAAAGUCCUCCAUGGUUUCAUUAGCUUCUCCUAACCGCUUUACUGUCUCCUCCUGAAGCUUACUCACUUCCUCCUGAGCCACCAACCACUCUUCCGUCUGCUUCUUCAAGCUGGCUUCUGUUUCUCUGAGCUUCUCCUGCUCAAGCUUCUUCGCCGCCGUAGAAACCUCUAGCUCUUCUUCCUUCUCCUUGAGUGCUCUCUGAAGCGCUUCUAUCUCAUCUUCUUGUCUCUCCACAAUCUCAUUAGCUUGGAUCAAGAGCUGUGACUUGUUCUCAAACUCAAAACUCGCCACGGAAACCUCCUUGGUUUUGAUCGAAAUCUCAACGCGCAUUCGAUCCAGCUCACGUUCUUUAAAAGUCAAUGACGCUUGCAUAGCAACAAGCUCCUCGUCUCUUUCCNNNNNNNNNNNNNNNNNNNNNNNNNNNNNNNNNNNNNNNNNNNNNNNNNNNNNNNNNNNNNNNNNNNNNNNNNNNNNNNNNNNNNNNNNNNNNNNNNNNNNNNNNNNNNNNNNNNNNNNNNNNNNNNNNNNNNNNNNNNNNNNNNNNNNNNNNNNNNNNNNNNNNNNNNNNNNNNNNNNNNNNNNNNNNNNNNNNNNNNNNNNNNNNNNNNNNNNNNNNNNNNNNNNNNNNNNNNNNNNNNNNNNNNNNNNNNNNNNNNNNNNNNNNNNNNNNNNNNNNNNNNNNNNNNNNNNNNNNNNNNNNNNNNNNNNNNNNNNNNNNNNNNNNNNNNNNNNNNNNNNNNNNNNNNNNNNNNNNNNNNNNNNNNNNNNNNNNNNNNNNNNNNNNNNNNNNNNNNNNNNNNNNNNNNNNNNNNNNNNNNNNNNNNNNNNNNNNNNNNNNNNNNNNNNNNNNNNNNNNNNNNNNNNNNNNNNNNNNNNNNNNNNNNNNNNNNNNNNNNNNNNNNNNNNNNNNNNNNNNNNNNNNNNNNNNNNNNNNNNNNNNNNNNNNNNNNNNNNNNNNNNNNNNNNNNNNNNNNNNNNNNNNNNNNNNNNNNNNNNNNNNNNNNNNNNNNNNNNNNNNNNNNNNNNNNNNNNNNNNNNNNNNNNNNNNNNNNNNNNNNNNNNAUGUCUAUCAAAAAUCCACCCGCAAAGAAUCAGCCUUUUGGCGGCAAAACAGUUAUGUUAGGUGGUGAUUUCAGACAGAUCCUACCAGUCAUUCCGCAAGGUGGAAGAGCUGAUACUGUAUUAGCUUCGAUAAGCCAUUCAUAUAUAUGGAAUAGCUGCCAGAAGUUCUCUUUGAAAACAAAUAUGCGAGUAAAUCAGGAUGAGAAAGAGUUUUCUGAAUGGCUUCUCAGAGUCGGGGAAGGUCGUCUAGAAGCAGAACAAGAAUAUGAGGAGGAUGGGUACCAUGACCAAUUCAUAGAUAUCGAUGAAUCAUUGAUUUGUCAGAGUUUUGUUGACCCAUUGAAAGAAGUUGUUGAUGCCGCAUAUGGACAAAUCAGCAGCCCGAUGAAUUCCAAGACUUCCUACACCGAUAAAGCUAUCCUCACACCCCGUAACGAAACCGUUGAUGAAAUCAAUGCUUACACCAUCUCACGGACCGACGGGGUAUCAAGAGAUUACUACAGCUCAGACAGCUUUGAGUUAUCAGAUACUACAUCAGAUCAAAAUGAUAGACUAUACUCCAUUGAGUAUCUUAACUCAUUGGAAUUCUCGGGUUUGCCUUCGCACAAACUUACUCUGAAAGUUGGUGCCCCAGUUAUGCUUCUCAGAAACAUAAAUCAGAAAAAGGGAUUAUGCAAUGGUACGCGGAUGAUCCUAACCCACGUUGGUGAACGCGUUCUGAAGGCCGAGAUCAUCACUGGAUCCCACAUUGGAGAAGAGGUCUUGAUCCUAAGAAUUGUGUUUUUGUAUGAUGAAACAAAAUUACCGUUCACAUUACGUCGGCGGCAAUUUUCUAUCAGAUUGUGCUACGCAAUGACAAUCAACAAAAGCCAAGGCCAGAGUUUAAAAGAGGUCAUCUUAUAUCUGCCUCAACCAGUCUUCUCUCAUGGUCAACUUUACGUGGUCCUCUCCCGUGUCACAAGCAAAGCAGGAUUAACGAUCAUCAAAACUGAAGAUCCCCACCAGCUGAAAGUGAAGAAUAUAGUCUACAAAGAAAUAUUCAAAGGCCUUCAUCCCGAGACAAGUAAUUUUAAAUAAAUUAUUUUUUUCCUCUCAUCUUUUUCAGAAAUCUGAUAAAAUAUUAUAUUCACAGAUUAACAAUCUCGAAAAUAUAUCGACCAAGCGAUGAUACAAGCCAAUAAAGAAGAGACUUACACAUAGGUUUACUCCACCUAAGCCAGGUACAAAACUUUUAAUAUAAAUAGCAAUACUACUAUAUUCAACUAAACUUAUGCUGACUAACUAUUCUUAUCCAAUUUCAGGUCUUUUCUUUCUCAUGACCCUCAAAAAAACUUCUGAUCUGCGAAAGACUUAAUCUGCUUCCUCCAUUAUCUACUUUACUUACAGUUUUUUUGGCUUUUAAACAUUUGCGUAAACUCGAUAUACACAAAUUUUCCACACAUAUUAUAACACACAAUCUUUCCAUCUCAAACAAAAAUAUUGAUUACCAACAAACUUUUUGUGUUCAAACAAACAAUACCUACAUCUAAUAUGAUAUUUUGGAUCAAAAUUUUAUUAGAAAAUAACCCGGGCGUAGCCCGGGAACUGACCUAGUCAUAAUAAUAGUUGCUCACAAGAAAAAGAAACAUUCUUAAGGUUACGAUAAUAAUAGUCGCUCAAAACAAAAAAAAGUUUACCAUAAUCUUAUACAAUAAAUAUGGCUUUUUUUUUUCCCCUAGAGGGAAAAAACACGUCUCGCACAAUGUUUUUAAUUUUCAAAGAUUCUUUGUCGUUACAAUCUCUUAAUAAAGCUGGCCUAUGUUACAUUUUUUUUUACAUUAUUGUAAAAGCCCAAGCCCAAAAUUGCUUAAAACAAAGUCGAAGUUUUAUAUCCACUAGCUCUUACCCUUGCAUCGCCUCACCUUCUUCAUCUUCCUCAAUCGCGUCGGCUUACCCAGCCGUUUCAACCUCGACUGGCAUUCCUCCAUAACGUCGGCUUAGCACGUUUUUCCGUCUUAAAACUAGCGCCGCUAUCAAUCGAUCACAUUUAACCAAUGAAAAAGGAAGUACAUCAACAGAGAAGGCAACGACAACCAUAGAUUUUUGAAUUAAAAAAGUGAAUAUAAUGAUAAAUGUUCUUUGUUAAAUAACACAAAUGGCAAACACUCCGAACUCUCGUGACGGUAACAGUCUAUGAAGAUUCAUCCACAACAGUUCAUCGAAAUUUUCAAUCAGAAUCAGACUCAAUAAGAAAAGAGAGCUAAUCAUUUAUAGAAACUUACAUAUAAAAUUUGUUCUUCUUGAUUCAACGAACAAUCCAAGAGAGACACAGAGAGAGAAGAUGAGAGAGAUUUACAGUAAUGUCUUAUAAAAUGAGAUUGAGAGAGAGAGAGAGAGAGAACACAGAAGAGUUUGUUUUUAAGAAGGAAGAACCUUCUUGACAAUGUCUUCACUAAGAGUAGCGAUCUGAGAAUCAAGAGCCUUAAUGGUCUCCUCCUUCUGCUUCUCCAAGCUCGCCAAAGCUUCCUGCAGCUCCGCCUCCACCUUCUUCCUCCCUACCGCCAGCUGCUGCUCCACCUCCACCUGUCCCAACACAAACAACCAUCAAUGCCUUUCUCACAAUCAGACAUCACAAAUGUCAGUUAACGUUUCCCUUACCUCCGUCUCCUUCUUCAUCUUGUUAAGCGCGGCGGCGAUCUCAGCCCUAGCCGCCCUCAUCACAGCAGCCGCCUGUUCAUCGAGCGCCUUCACCUCAGUGGAAGUAUCCUUCACGCUCGCGAGCUUCUCCUUAAUCUCACCGUCUCUCUUAUCCAUAAAGUUCCCGAGGGGAGAGUAGUAGACUUUGUCGAGCGCGAACAUGAGGAAGAGAAACUCCACGACGAUGAUCGGGAGCGUCAGGUUGAAGUCGAAGAGCUGGGCCUUCUCCAUAGCUUCGGCCAUGGAAGGGGGAGCGAGGGCGGCGAUUAAAGCUAGAGACUUUACGGUGGCGGAGGAGAAAGACAGAGCCUUGCUGCUGAGGGAGGAGGAGGAGGAGGAGGAGAUGGGUUUGGGGAUCUGGGGGAGUUUGAUGGAUUUGGGGAGGUUGACGCGGGUUGGUUGAGUGGAGGAGGAGAGGGAGAUGAGGGGUUUGGAGGAAGCCAUUAUCGAGUUAGCCAUGGCGACACGAGCAGAGACAGAGAGAGAGGGAGAGAGCUUUCGCUUUGAGAGAUGAGAGAAUGCUCAAAAACUGAUCUCUCUGUGUAAUCUUCUUAGGAAUGUUAUCUCUUCUCUUCACCACACAAAUAAUCAAAGGCUGUGGUGG
rnacentral:lncRNA from 1 species